rnacentral:misc_RNA from 1 species
GUGAAUCAUCGAAUCUUUGAACGCAUAUUGCGCUCUUUGGUAUUCCAGAGAGCAUGCCUGUUUGAGUAUUGGUACUAUGGGUGAACUUCCUUUGAAUUUUCAAAGUAAAAUCAUUUAAAACCCUAUUGAGACGUCUUGACAAUCUUUUUUGACAAGUGUCUUAAAAUUCAAUUGAAUUUUCCAUGUUCCAGUGGAAGACGACUAGUUUAUGGAGUAAUACGGUAAGGGUUGCCCCUGACCUGAGAAAGUGCUGUAAAAAGCUCUUUUUCUUACUUUUUUACUAGUUGUCUUUAUGCUGGA